rnacentral:rRNA from 1 species
AUUGAACGCUGGCGGCAUGCCUUACACAUGCAAGUCGAACGGCAGCACGGGAGCAAUCCUGGUGGCGAGUGGCGAACGGGUGAGUAAUAUAUCGGAACGUGCCCAGUCGUGGGGGAUAACGUAGCGAAAGCUACGCUAAUACCGCAUACUAUCUAUGGAUGAAAGCGGGGGAUCGCAAGACCUCGCGCGAUUGGAGCGGCCGAUAUCAGAUUAGGUAGUUGGUGAGGUAAAGGCUCACCAAGCCGACGAUCUGUAGCUGGUCUGAGAGGACGACCAGCCACACUGGGACUGAGACACGGCCCAGACUCCUACGGGAGGCAGCAGUGGGGAAUUUUGGACAAUGGGCGCAAGCCUGAUCCAGCAAUGCCGCGUGCAGGAUGAAGGCCUUCGGUUGGUAACGUAGUCGUUUGUUACGGUAACGGAAACGGUAGGUAG